rfam:Clostridium grantii DSM 8605 genome assembly, contig: EJ34DRAFT_scaffold00010.10
GCAAUCCCGUAUGGUAAAGCUUAACCAGCAGCCAUUAGCGAGUCUUGAGUUGUUUGGGGCGACCCAAAGGUCUAAGCGUAGAUAGUAAACAUGUGGGCCAUAAGCCGAAUGAGGUUGAAGCUGAAAGCUCCGAAAUCCCAAACGAUAAGGUCGAUAUGUUGGUCUGUAUAGAAGACAGUACUAAAUUAUUCAACAUGGUGAGAAUGGUUUAGCUUAUCCGGAGUCGUGGGGCA